AUACGGAGGAUGCGAGCGUUAUCCGGAUUUAUUGGGUUUAAAGGGAGCGUAGGUGGGAUAUUAAGUCAGCUGUGAAAGUUUGGGGCUCAACCUUAAAAUUGCAGUUGAUACUGGUUUCCUUGAGUACGGUACAGGUGGGCGGAAUUCGUGGUGUAGCGGUGAAAUGCAUAGAUAUGACGAAGAACACCGAUUGCGUAGGCAGCUGACCAGACCGCAAAUGACGCUCAUGCACGAAAGUGCGGGGAUCGAACAGGAUUAGAUACCCUGGUAGUCCGCACAGUAAACGAUGAAUACUUGUUUUCGGCGAUAUAAUGUCGGAGGCAAAGCGAAAGCGAUAAGUAUUCCACCUGGGGAGUACGCCGGCAACGGUGAAACUCAAAGGAAUUGACGGGG
rnacentral:rRNA from 1 species